rnacentral:lncRNA from 1 species
UGACUGGGCCAAUACUACGAUAAGAUGUGAUGCAUCUGAUUGAACGCAGAUUCCCCCAGAACCAAGACUGAUCCUUCUGCAGUGCAGAGAAAACUGUGAAGUUGAUGAUGGAUUGAAACAUCACUAGCAAGAAGAUAAGACCAAAGACAACGAGCUCCUGCCAAUUCUCCUGCAGGAUUCCUCUAGCCACAUAGUAUACACAGAACACUGGGAAGGAGAAGGGAAAGGUAAUAAUGAAAACUGAAAAUGAUUAGCAAACUAGAAGUGAA